rnacentral:rRNA from 1 species
AGCGAACGCUGGCGGCAGGCUUAACACAUGCAAGUCGAGCGGGCACUUUCGGGUGUCAGCGGCGGACGGGUGAGUAACGCGUGGGAACGUGCCCUCUGGUUCGGAAUAACUCAGGGAAACUUGAGCUAAUACCGGAUACGCCCUUUUGGGGAAAGGCUUGCUGCCGGAGGAUCGGCCCGCGUCUGAUUAGCUAGUUGGUGAGGUAACGGCUCACCAAGGCGACGAUCAGUAGCUGGUCUGAGAGGAUGAUCAGCCACACUGGGACUGAGACACGGCCCAGACUCCUACGGGAGGGAGCAGUGGGGAGUAUUGGACGAUGGGCGCGAGCCUGAUCCAGCCAUGCCGCGUGAGUGAUGAAGGCCUUAGGGUUGUAAAGCUCUUUUAUCCGGGACGAUAAUGACGGUACCGGAGGAAUAAGCCCCGGCUAACUUCGUG